UAAGGCCGAAAAAAAACUGCAGAUGACUGCCCUAUGAAGAUCUUGCCUUCAAUUUGUAGCAACUUCCUCGCAGACGGCAACAGAGGCUCCCAAAAAACUGACAUCCAAAAAGGGCAAAGAAGUGUCAGCCUAAUCCGCCGAUAACCUAAUUCGAAAAAUUGCACGCCCAAAGUAAGUGUUAGACUAAAAAGGAAAGAGAGAAUGCAGCUGUACUUGGACUUAUGAAGCUACUCGGAACGCUUCUUAAGAGAGGGGGACCAUGUUGAGUCAAAUUGGCCGGAAUACUCAAAACGCAGUAGAUAGAACAAUGAAGCCUGAUAUGUUGAGUUGAGUGGGCCGUUAACAAUGGGGGAUCUGCUAAUUUGGCAAGCUUUUGCGAAGAUUUGGUGCACCAAUGGAGAAUCUCGUGUCAAGUUUACUAGGCGGAUGGAGUUGUUCGACGAUUUGGAAUCGUGGAGAGGUUAUGCUUCGGCAAGAACAUCAAAAUCAAAAGGGGAAAGUCUGGUGG
rnacentral:lncRNA from 1 species